GAUGGGUGACGGCUGAAAGUCUUGAGGCUGAGAGGUAAAAAACCUGUUGGCGGCUGAGUGAAGAAAGGCUAGGUUUCUGAGAGGAAUGGAGGGCUGAAACAGAAAAAAAAAAAAAGAAACCAGUAAGGGAGUGACGGCAAAAAACAGACGGCUGAGGGAGAGUUGUUGGAGAUUCUGGGGUGGCGGCUGGGUAGAGAGAUCAAAAAA
rnacentral:lncRNA from 1 species